UACGUAGGGUGCGAGCGUUGUCCGGAAUUAUUGGGCGUAAAGAGCUCGUAGGCGGUCUGUCGCGUCGGUCGUGAAAACUUGGGGCUUAACCCUGAGCUUGCGGUCGAUACGGGCAUGACUGGAGUUCGGCAGGGGAGACUGGAAUUCCUGGUGUAGCGGUGAAAUGCGUAGAUAUCGAGAGGAACACCUGCGGCGAAGGCGGGUUGCUGGGCCGACACUGACGCUGAGGAGCGAAAGUGUGGGGAGCGAACAGG
rnacentral:rRNA from 1 species